UACGUAGGGUGCGAGCGUUAAUCGGAAUUACUGGGCGUAAAGUGUGCGCAGGUGGCCUCUCAAGUCGAGUGUGAAAUCCCCGAGCUUAACUUGGGAAUUGCGCUCGAAACUACGUGGCUCGAGUGUGGCAGAGGAAGGUGGAAUUCCACGUGUAGCGGUGAAAUGCGUAGAGAUGUGGAGGAACACCGAUGGCGAAGGCAGCCUUCUGGGCCAACACUGACGCUCAUGCACGAAAGCGUGGGGAGCAAACAGG
rnacentral:rRNA from 1 species